rnacentral:rRNA from 1 species
UAGGGAAUCUUCCACAAUGGACGAAAGUCUGAUGGAGCAACGCCGCGUGAGUGAAGAAGGUUUUCGGAUCGUAAAGCUCUGUUGUUGGUGAAGAAGGAUAGAGGCAGUAACUGGUCUUUAUUUGACGGUAAUCAACCAGAAAGUCACGGCUAACUACGUGCCAGCAGCCGCGGUAAUACGUAGGUGGCAAGCGUUGUCCGGAUUUAUUGGGCGUAAAGCGAGCGCAGGCGGAAUGAUAAGUCUGAUGUGAAAGGCCCACGGCUCAACCGUGGAACUGCAUCGGAAACUGUCAUUCUUGAGUGCAGAAGAGGAGAGUGGAACUCCAUGUGUAGCGGUGGAAUGCGUAGAUAUAUGGAAGAACACCAGUGGCGAAGGCGGCUCUCUGGUCUGCAACUGACGCUGAGGCUCGAAAGCAUGGGUAGCGAACAGGAUUAGAUACCCUGGUAGUCCAUGCCGUAAACGAUGAGCGCUAGGUGUUGGGGACUUUCCGGUCCUCAGUGCCGCAGCAAACGCAUUAAGCGCUCCGCCUGGGGAGUACGACCGCAAGGUUGAAAC